AACAUACUCCCUCCGUUCGGUAUUACUUGUUGUGAAAAUGGAUGUAUCUAGACGUAUUUUAGUUCUAGAUACGUCCAUUUCUGAGACAAGUAAUUCCGGAGGGAGUAACAU
rnacentral:pre_miRNA from 1 species